rfam:Dipodomys ordii contig_51465, whole genome shotgun sequence.
GGUGGCUCAGUGGUAGAGUGCUUGCCUUGCAGGCAUGAGGCCCAUGCAUGAGGUUCGAUUCCUCAGCACCA